GACGAACGCUGGCGGCGUGCUUAACACAUGCAAGUCGAACGGAAAGGCCCCUCUGGGGGUACUCGCGUGGCGAACGGGUGAGUAACUCGUGAGUAACUUGCCUUCGCCUUAGGGUUAAAUAACGGCAACUGGGGCUAAUUACGGCCAGGAAUGAUUGCCGCCUGGAGGGGGGUGGAUAGAUUCGGUUGGUUUGGAUGGACUCGCGGCCUAUCUGUUUGCUGGUGGGGUGGUGGGUUACCAAGGCGUUGUCGGGUAGGUGGCCUGGGAGGGAGAGCGGCCACAUUGGGACUUGGAUACGGGCCAGACUCCCACGGGAGGCAGCAGGGGGGAAUAUUGCACAAAGGGCGGAAGCCCGAUGCAGCAACGCCGCGGGCGGGAUUACGGCCUUCGGGGUGGAAACCGCUUUCAGCAGGGGCGAAGCUGGGGGUGACGGUACCGGCAGAAGAAGCACCGGCUAACUACGUG
rnacentral:rRNA from 1 species